rnacentral:tRNA from 1 species
GCGGCCGUAGUCUAGCCUGGACUAGGACAUCAGCCCGCCACGCUGGCGACCCGGGUUCAAAUCCCGGCGGCCGCACCA